GGUCAGUGAUGAUUGGUGGCAUGUAUUAUCUGAUGUAAAGGUGAUGUUUAUCAUCACAUUAGCUCUAGAAUUACUCUGAGACCCA
ensembl:snoRNA